CCAGCUCACGUCGAUACAGCUCUUGUCGUUCCUCCAUGCGAGGCUUCAGCAGGAGGGCCUGGAGUUUCGUGACCUGCCCGACAUAAAUGACCAGG
rnacentral:SRP_RNA from 1 species